CGUACAGGGGGAGAACCAAAAUGGCGGCGAAGGUGGCCGUUGAGGCUUGCGUGUGAGGGUCCCUGCCCCCCCCCCCCCCAACCCCGCAACCAACAGGGCCCGCUCGGUGCCGCAGGCCGCGAGGCCCAAGGCAGCAGUGCUGCUGCCAAGCAUUUUUGACUGCAUACCAUGGCAACAGGAGGUGGUCCUUUUGAGGAAGGCAUGAAUGAUCAGGACUUGCCUAGCUGGAGCAAUGAAAGCUUUGAUGACCGGCUGAACAAUACGGACUGGGGGGGUCAACAGAAGAAAGCAAACAGGUCUUCAGAGAAAAACAAGAAAAAAUUUGGUGGGGAAGGUGAAACAAGGCUUACUAAUGACAUAUCUCCAGAGUCCUCACCCGGAAUGGGACGGCGGAAGACAAGGACUCUUCAUAGUCUUCCUCACACUAGAUAUAUGACUCAGAUGUCUGUUCCAGAGCAAGCAGAAUUAGAAAGGCUUAAACAAAGAAUAAACUUCAGUGAUCUGGAUCAGAGGAGCAUUGGAAGUGAUUCUCAAGGCAGAGCAACAGCUGCUAACAACAAACGUCAGCUUAAUGAAACCAGAAAACCAUUCAACUCCCUAUCACUGCAGAUUAACACUAACAAGGAUGCUGCCACAAGCCCUCAAAAAAAAGAAACUGGUGGAUCAUCACAAUGUAAAGAGUUAUUUGCAUCUGCUCUAAGUAAGGACUUCUUGCAAAAUUAUCAGGUGUCUGUUCAAGAAGAUGGAAGAGGAGAACCUGCUAUGGAUAGUAGCCAGAUUGUGAGCAGACUAGUUCAAAUUCGUGACUAUAUUGCUAAGGCCAGCUCCAUGCGGGAUGAUCUUGUAGAGAAAAAUGAAAGAUCUGCUAAUGUUGAGCGCUUGUCACAUCUCAUAAACCAUCUUAAAGAACAAGAAAAAUCCUAUCUGAAAUUUUUGCAAAAGAUGCUUGCUAGAGAAAAUGAGGAGGAUGAUGUUCGGACUAUAGAUUCAGCUGUGAGAUCUGGUUCUGUAGCUGAGAGCACAUCGCUAAACAUAGAUGUGCAGUCUGAGGCUUCAGAUACCACGGAAGUAUCUUUUAGUCUGAAAAUUCGGCCCUGCAUUGAGGACAAACUAGGGAAUUCAGCUUCACAAGGACAGGUUUCAGACAUUGACGUUACAACAAGUCCAAAAGGGAAAGGUGACAAAGCUGCUCUGAAUGGCAGGGAAAUCUGGCCAAUUAGGAUUGGAUUACCCUCACAGGCCAGAGACCCCCAGCAGGAGGCUAAAGAGGAGCUAGAGAAUUUGAAGAAGCAACAUGACUUGUUAACAAGGAUGUUACAACAACAGGAACAGCUGAAAGCACUUCAGGGAAGACAAGCUGCUCUUCUUGCCCUGCAGCAUAAAGCAGAGCAGGCAAUUGCUGUCAUGGAUGAUUCUGUUGUAACAGAGACCACAGGUAGCAUUUCAGGAGUGAGUCUUACAUCUGAACUAAAUGAAGAAUUAAAUGAACUAAUCCAGCGUUUUCACAAUCAGCUUCAUGAAUCUCAGACUCAACCUGUGCCAGAUAAUAGAAGACAAGCAGAAAGUCUUUCACUUACGAGAGAGAUUUCACAAAGUAGAAAUUCUUCUAUGUCACAGCACUUAUCUGAUGAGAAAGCACAACUUUUUAGCAAGAUGAGAAUGUUGCAGGGUAAAAAACAAAAAAUGGACAAGUUGUUAGGAGAACUUCAUACACUUCGUGACCAGCAUCUAAACAAUUCUUCCUUCUUGCCUGUGUCUGGCACUCCACAAAGGAGUAUUGAUCAAAGAAGUACAACUUCAGCUGCGUCUGCUCCUAUAGGCAUAGCAACUGUUGUCAAUGGAGAGUCUAGCAGCCUAGCAUCAUCUGCUCCUUAUCCUCCUGAUUCCAUUGCUUCUCAGAAUGAGAGUGAAGAGGAUGACAAUCUAAACCCAACAGAAAAGCUCCAGAAACUGAAUGAAGUUCGUAAGAGAUUGAAUGAGUUGCGUGAGUUAGUUCAUUACUAUGAACAGACAUCUGAUAUGAUGACUGAUGCCGUGAAUGAAAACACUAAAGAGGAGGACACAGGAGAAUCUGAAUGUGAUUCUGAGCAUGAGAAUUCACAACCUGUUACCAAUAUCAGAAACCCCCAGGGAAUUAGUAGCUGGGGUGAAAUAAAUAGCAAUUCCAACAUACAGUGUGGAACUACUAACAGAGAUGGAAGACACCUUAAUACAGACUGUGAAAUAAAUAACCGAUCUGCUGCUAAUUUAAGGACUUUAAAUAUGUCUUCAACAUUAGAUUGUCGUAAUAGGGACAAUGACAAAGAUAUUGAUAUAUCACAAGGUGGUGGUGAUGAAGUGGAAGAGGACAGAGCCAGUGAAGUUUCUUUAUCUAGCUGCAGAAGCAGUGUUGCUGAUGCUGGAGAUGCUGAGUUUGAGCAGAAGAUCAAUAGACUUAUAGCUGCAAAACAAAAACUUAAACAGUUACAAAAUCUUGUAGCUAUGGUACAGGAUGAUGAGACAGAUCCUGAAGCAACUACUGCUGAUACAUCUAAUGCGGGUGACUUCUUUUUGGCUGAAGUAGAGGAGGCAAAGCAGCAACCAAAUAACAUCAGAGCUAGCACCAACAAAUUGCAGCAAGAUGUGAGACUGAAAGAAAAAGCAAGAGAAAAAUUCUAUGAAGCUAAACUUCAGCAGCAGCAGCGGGAACUUAAACAACUUCAAGAAGAAAGAAGGAAACUGAUUGAGAUUCAAGAAAAAAUCCAAGCAUUACAGAAGGCUUGUCCUGACCUUCAAUUGUCAGCUAGCUUGGGGAAUUGCCCAGCAAAUAGACCAGCCUCACCUGUUACUUCAACACCAGCUGUUGAAAGUAGCACAGCAGGCAAUCCUGUUCUUGAACCUGAAGAAUCGGUAACAGUGGACAAUGAGCUAUGGUCUGAGAUGCGUAGGCAUGAGAUUUUAAGGGAAGAGUUACGACAGAGAAGAAAGCAGCUUGAAGCUUUAAUGGCUGAACACCAGAGGAGAAGAGAUCUGGCAGAAACCACAUCUACUGUUGCUGCAUCUGUUAAAAGUGAUGGAUCAGAGACCCAAUGUACUCCACAACAAAGUAGGAUGGAAAAAACAGUGGCAACGUGGGGAGGUUCUACCCAGUGUGUGCUAGAUGAAGAAGAUGGAGAUGGUUAUCUUUCUGAUGGACUUGUUCAGGCAGAAGAGGAGGAAGAAGAACAAGAGUCCAGUUCUAAUGACAAUUUCUCCAUGUAUCCCGAUAACAAUGAUCAAAGUACAUAUUGUGUUACAGAAAAUAAAGAUAGAUGGAAGAAUCGCCGUCCUCUUUCAGCAGAUGGGAAUUACCGUCCAUUGGCUAAGACAAGGCAACAACAGAAUAUUAGCAUGCGGCGGCAAGAAAACCUUAAGUGGAUGUCUGAGCUCUAUGUGGAGGAGAAGGAACAAUGGCAAGAGCAGAUUAACCAGUUAAAGAAACAGCUUGAAUUUAGUGUCCGUAUUUGUCAGACCCUGAUGCAAGAUCAGCAGACCCUCUCUUGUUUACUACAGACUCUGCUUACGGGCCCUUAUAGUGUGAUGCCCAGUAAUGUUGCAUCUCCACAAGUGCACCUUAUAAUGCACCAGUUAAACCAAUGCUAUACUCAGCUGACAUGGCAACAGAAUAAUGUUCAAAGGUUGAAGCAGAUGUUAAAUGAUCUUAUGUACCACCAAGAACAGCAGCAGCAGGAGAAGCCACAAAGAAAGGAAAGAGGCAGCAGUGCACCACCACCCCCAUCUCCUACAGUAUUUUGUCCUUUCAGUUUUCCUCCUCAACCUAUGAAUCUAUUUAACGUACCUGGAUUUACUAAUUUUUCUUCUUUUGCAUCAGGUAUGAACUUCAAUCCUAUGUUUCCUUCUGGUUUUGGAGAUUUUGCAAACAAUGUUACCCCACCCAACAGUGAGCAGCUGCAGCAGCAACCCCUAGAUCACGCUUCAGGAAAAACUGAAUACAUGGCAUUUCCAAAGCCCUUUGAAAGCAGUUCCUCUAUUGGAGCAGAGAAACAAAGGAGUCAGAGACAACCUGAAGAGGAAAUGGAAAACAGAGCAGUUUGGCUAGAUGACAGCCAAGAAGGACGAAAAGAAAAACAGUCAUUCCUGAAGGCAGGGUUUGCGGUUUCAGUACAAAAUAUGGCUUCUGGUAAUCACAAAAAUCAGUCUGAUACCAGCCGGAGGAGAAGAGAGUUUGAUGAGGAAUCUUUGGAGAGUUUUAGUAGUAUGCCUGAUCCAGUGGAUCCAACUACUGUGACUAAAACAUUUAAAUCUAGAAAAGCAUCAGCCCAGGCCAGCUUGGCAUCUAAAGAUAAAACACCUAAAUCGAAGAAUAAGAGGAGGAGUUCUUCUCAGCUAAAAAGCAGAGUUAAAAAUACUGGUUAUGAAAGUGCCAGCAUUUCUAGUACAUGGGAACCUUGCAAGAGUAAUAGGAGCAGGCGCUCUGUGCACAAUGAGGAGGCUGUUCAAGCAAAAGUGUUCAGCAAAAAGAAUCAAGAACAAUUGGAAAAAAUAAUUAAGUAUAGUAGAUCUACAGAAAUGUCCUCAGCACAUGCUAGGAGAAUACUGCAGCAGUCUAACAGAAAUGCAUGCAUUGAAGCCCCAGAAACUGGUAGCGAUCUUUCCAUGUUUGAAGCUUUGCGAGACACCAUUUAUUCUGAAGUAGCUACUCUGAUAUCUCAAAAUGAAUCUCGUCCACAUUUUCUUAUUGAACUUUUCCAUGAGCUUCAGCUGCUAAAUACAGACUACUUGAGGCAAAGAGCAUUGUAUGCGUUACAGGAUAUAGUGACUAGACACAUAUCUGAGAACAAUGAAAAAGGAGAAUGCACGAAGUCUCUGAAUUCAGCUACAUGGAUGGCUUCAAACUCUGAACUUACUCCUAGUGAAAGUCUUGCUACAACUGAUGAUGAAACUUUUGAGAAGAACUUUGACACAGGAGCAAGUAGAGAUUGUGAACAAAAUGAUGCGGACAAUGGCAGUACCAUGUCUACAUCUUCAAAUUUUGAACCUUUUGCCACUGAUGAUCUUGGCAACACCGUGAUUCACUUAGAUCAGGCAUUGGCUAGGAUGAGGGAAUAUGAGCGUAUGAAAACUGAAGCAGAAAGUACCCUGGACUCCGAAGUCUGCUGUAGUAAUCUCCAGAGUGUGUCUGCUGUUAAAUUAGAAGGUCAAUCUACUGGUGAGAGUCACUGUAUGCCACAGGCUAGUGAAGUUUCUUCUGUUCCAUGUCCUCGUAUAGAUACUCAGCAGCUUGACCGACAGAUUAAAGCAAUUAUGAAAGAGGUCAUCCCUUUUCUGAAGGAACACAUGGAUGAAGUAUGCUCUUCUCAGCUAUUGACAUCAGUAAGACGUAUGGUCCUGACUCUUACACAACAAAAUGAUGAAAGCAAAGAAUUUGUGAAAUUUUUUCAUAAGCAACUUGGUGGCAUACUGCAGGAUUCACUGGCAAAAUUUGCUGGUAGAAAACUAAAAGAUUGUGGAGAGGAUCUUCUUGUGGAGAUCUCUGAAGUUUUAUUUAAUGAACUAGCCUUCUUUAAACUCAUGAAAGACUUGGACAGCAACAGUAUUACUGUAAAACAAAGAUGCAAAAGUAAAAUGGAAGCAGCUGGAGUGAUACAACCUUACGAUAAAGAGGAAAAGAGAGUUCUUGAGGUAGGCGUUCGUUCAACCGCUGAAGAUAUUGAUGAAGACAAAGACAAGGAUGAGACUGAAACAGUUAAACCCACACAAGAAUCAGAAAUAUACAAUGAUGGUGAAGUUUCUCAAAAUAUGAGAUCUGAUGCUUCUGAUCAGGAGGAAGAUGAGGCGAGUGAAGGCUGUCCGGUGUCUAUAAGUUUGUCUAAAGCGGAAACACAAGCUCUAACUAAUUAUGGAAGUGGGGAAGAUGAGAAUGAAGAUGAAGAAAUAGAAGAGUUUGAAGAAGGACCUGUGGAUGUCCAGACUUCACUGCAAGCCAGCAAUGACACUACAGCUGAAAAUGAACAAGGACAGAUUUCAACAGAUGAAUCUGAAAAACCAAAUGAAUAUGAGAUUUUAUCAUCUAAGCAGAAAUCUAUUAGUUCUAAAGAUGAACAAGAUGUUCCUGCUAUUUUGCCUCAUCUCAAUAUGCUGGAGAAUAAGAAACUUCUAACAGUCAGUGCACCUGAGUCUGUUAAUGCUACCAAGGUGUCAACAACAGAAGAGCCAAGCCUUUCAUUACUAGUAAAUGAAAUUCAGAUAUCAGAAACAAUGUGCAUAGAAACCAAAUCCUUGACAAGAAGCGCAGAAAGCUCUAUGGCUGGAAGCCCUGAUACAGAGUCACCUGUGUUAGUGAAUGAAUAUGAAGCUGGGUUCGGAAACAUAAGUCAAAAGUCUGAUGAAGAUGACUUUGUGAGAGUUGAAGACUUGCCCCUUAAACUUACAAUAUAUUCAGAGGCAGAUCUAAUGAAGAAAAUGGUGGCGGAAGCCCAGACUAACACUUUGUCUGAUGCAAUACUGGAUGGUGGUGGAAUGCAAAGUGAAGAAUUAGCUGGAGAUUCUCAAACACUAAAAGAACCUGGUGAGAGAUUCUUUAAAUUCCUAACACCUUAAUCUCCUCUUGGGAGAGUUAAGCUUUAUUAGGGUCUAAACCCUUCAGGGUUAUUGCUGAGUAAAGCAAGAAAACUCAGUCUUCUGAUUGUCAAUGUUUUCAUUAUGACAUACUGGAAAAUGUGUAUUGACAAAUGUUCUGUUUGCUGCUGCUUCCAUUAAUUUUUACCAGUUUUAACCAAUAUUCUUGAUUGUGACUAAAGAAGCAAUCCUUUUCUAAUUGAAGUUAAUGGUAGGGAAGGAUCUGAUAGUGUAAGUUAUAAGUCAGUUACUCCUGGGGGAAUUCUGCAUAUUUUAUUUGUCAAAAUACUGCAAUAUAAUCACACUGGCUUCAAUUAUUUCGGUAAUUUAUUUAAACUACAAUACAAUGUUUGGAGAAUGGGAGUGAGGAGCAUUGGAGGAAAUCCCCAGAAACAUUGCCUAAUAAUAAUAUAGCUAGGUUUGACCCUUUAUUUC